rnacentral:rRNA from 1 species
CCUACGGGAGGCAGCAGUGAGGAAUAUUGGUCAAUGGCCGCAGGGCUGAACCAGCCAAGUCGCGUGAGGGAUGACGGUCCUAUGGAUUGUAAACCUCUUUUGUCAGGGAGCAAAGGGCGCCACGUGUGGCGUUUUGCGAGUACCUGAAGAAAAAGCAUCGGCUAACUCCGUGCCAGCAGCCGCGGUAAUACGGAGGAUGCGAGCGUUAUCCGGAUUUAUUGGGUUUAAAGGGUGCGUAGGCGGUUUUAUAAGUUAGAGGUGAAAAUUCGGGGCUCAACUCCGGACGUGCCUCUAAUACUGUAUGACUAGAGAAUAGAUGCGGUAGGCGGAAUGUAUGGUGUAGCGGUGAAAUGCGUAGAGAUCAUACAGAACACCGAUUGCGAAGGCAGCUUACCAAACUACAUCUGACGUUGAGGCACGAAAGCGUGGGGAGCAAACAGGAUUAGAUACCCCUGUAGUC